rnacentral:misc_RNA from 1 species
UACGUAGGGCGCGAGCGUUGUCCGGAUUUACUGGGCGUAAAGGGCUCGUAGGCGGUUUGUCGCGUCGGUCGUGGAAAUGCGCAGCUUAACCGGGCACGCGCGGCUGAUACGGGCAGACUCGAGGGCGGUAGGGGCAAGCGGAAUUCCUGGGGUCGCGGUGAAAUGCGCAGAUAUCAGGAGGAACACCGAUGGCGAAGGCAGGUUGCUGGGCCGUUCCUGACGCUGAGGAGCGAAAGCGUGGGUAGCGAACAGG